UACGGGGGGGGGCAAGCGUUGUUCGGAAUUCCUGGGCGUAAAGGGCUCGUAGGUGGCCAACUAAGUCAGACGUGAAAUCCCUCAGCUUAACUGGGGAACUGCGUCUGAUACUGGAUGGCUUGAGUUUGGGAGAGGGAUGCGGAAUUCCAGGUGUAGCGGUGAAAUGCGUAGAUAUCUGGAGGAACACCGGUGGCGAAGGCGGCAUCCUGGACCAACACUGACACUGAGGAGCGAAAGCCAGGGGAGCAAACGGG
rnacentral:rRNA from 1 species